GCUAUGGAAUAACUUCAAUCUUCUCUGUAGCAGAGCAGUGGGACAUUCUGCUGCAGUUCUCUUUGAGAAUACAAGAGGAAGCUGUGAACUCCAUGUCACAGUGAUGGGACAGUGGAACAAUAACGCUAGACUGAGAAACCAAUCUGAAUCUACUGAAGUUGUUUGUGCACUCUACAAAACACAGGAAUUAAAACUAGAAAUUUGAAUGAGACACUGUGGAAGAAGGUUCAGAGGUAAUAAUAAAGUGAAGUGCUCCACGAGGCGGCAGAAGUACUUUCAGCGUCUUCGGAUCCUCGACAACAUGAAACUGAUCAAAAGAUGUAGAAACCUCGGAAGAAAACAACAUUUCACAUCAAUAGUAGAGGCUGUGGACAGACAAUGACUUUAGAGACGGACAUCUGCUCAAGGACAGAAACAUAACCCCUGCUGGAGCUCAGGGGGGGACCCGAAUCAUCCCCACCCCUUCAUUCACACAACACUAACUCAUAUUGCAGAGAUCUGGCUGGGAUUGAACCAGCAACCUCUGAACCGUGAGGCAGCGCUCUUACCUGUGAGCCACAGAUCUCUUGCUUGAACUUGUGCUGGAAUUUAUAUUUCACUGUUCAUCUGCAUGUGAUUCUACAAUAAAUCAGUUAAAGCUCUUACAGAGUCUCUCUACUUGUGUGAGAUGGGAUUUGAACCCAUGCCUCUAUCACCGAUAACAUGUUUAGCCACUAACCCAUCAUGGCUUUCACAUUGAAGGCUUGUGUUUGUGGCACUUUGUUGGAUAUAUUAGCAUCAGUAUAAUGUAAGCAAUAGUGGGAUUUGAACUCAUAACUCCAUAAUUCAAACACAUCAGGUUAUCCACUGAGCCAUUGAGUCUGGCAGUUGUUUUUAAUUUUAAUAAGUUGAUUAUGUGCUUAGCCACAACGCGGCUUUAAUUGUUUUAAACACUCAUUUCACAUUAUAUCAUAUCACUUUGUUUCAUUUGCAAACUUUACUUUAAGAUGACACAGUGUGGCUGGUUAAAUUGUGUGUAGUGUACUUUGCAAAUUUUCUUGACAAUUUAUAUUGAUAUAUCUUUUUUUUUUUUUUUUUUUUAAUAAAAGUUUAUGAAGUUAUGUAAGAAAUUACAUUUUUUUUAUUUGAUAAAGUAUGCAUUUUAUUUCCAGGCUUUUAUGGCUGUUGUAAAUGUUUAGAGCCAGCAGAUGUCAAUGUUGUCCAUUUACUCAUUUCCCUUUCCCUACAUUUUAUUUCAUGCACAUUUUAAAUUUUAGUGUGGCAUUGAUGCAUCUUUUUUCCCCAGACUAUGUAGGUUUAAGAACAUGAAUCACCUGAUCAUUUUUAGCAUGUUAUCUGUGCAUAUAACUUCAGUAUUGCAAGUGAUGCUUUUUUAAUAGGACAGUCAACAGUUAUGGGUGCUUUUGAAACACUGCUUCAUUUAGAUUCGAUUUUUUUGUUUGAAUCAAUGAUUCAGAGCAUGUAACAGACUGGUCAAGUCAUGUGAUUUCAGCAAAACUUUGAAACAUUCCGUUAAUCUGGUGAAACAUUGACCAGCGUCUGAUUAAUAUAUGGUUUUAACUGAUCUCAGGUCCGAUGUAUAAUUUAGGGUUUAGUUUAAUGACAAACACUCGUGUAUAUAAUGCAAAAAUGGUGAGUAAUAGUUAAAUGUAAUUUGCCUGUUUACCCAAGCCCUUACAAAAACAUACAAUACAAGAAUAAAACAACACCAAUUAUACAGACACUUCAUAUUUAAUGUAACAGAAUGAACUUCCAGGAAAAUACUUGCAAUCACUUUGUAAAAGGUGUCAUUAAACAUGUUUGCACUGUUCUUAUUUCAUUUACACCAUUUUGACCAGCAGGUGUCUCCACAUGUGUUGUGUAGAGCACUUUAAAACAGACAAACAUUUAAAUUCAGAGUUUGGAAAAGCUCUGUUCCUAUCUUGACUACUGAUAUGUAAAAGAUUGUGAAUUGUGAAUUUCAAAAUUGUGAAAAUCAGCAAACAAGGUGAGCCAUCAAAAAUAUAUAUUUUUUAAUGUUAAAGUGACUCCGUUUGUCCAUUAUCAUUGCAAUAGCAAUGGUUGAAGACGUGGCUUUGGAUCUACAGUCAAUUGAAAGCAAAUCUGCAAAGGCUAUUGUUUGCUAGCGAUGAAGAUCUUUAUUAGAUGAACACAGCGUGUGCUGUCUACGGUUCAACAGGUUUAACUUAGGCUACAUUUGAUUACAGUACACGAUACCACUAUGACAUUACCAGUUUGUUUUACGUGUAACUUAUAAAUUAAAUACAAUGUGUAGUUGACUUACUCAAGUUCAACCAGACAUUAAUAAUCAAACAAAAAGUGACAAGCAGAAGUCAUCAACUUGAUGUGUGUUAGGUAGGGAGUACAGCCAAGGCUUCAUCACUGAGAACAUGGUGAAGAACCUCCUUCCUCCAUCUGCAGAUGACACACUUCCCAUGAUUCAAUUCACCUACAAACCUGUAUUUCUUUAUCCUUGUCCAGCACCUUAUUUAAUCCAUCUGAUACAAAUCAGCAGCUUUUCAGAGAGCUACAUGAACUGAACUGCGUCUGUCAGAUAAGAGAGAGACAUAAAAUGAGAGUUGAGAAAAUUAUUGCUGUUUC
rnacentral:lncRNA from 12 species